rnacentral:rRNA from 1 species
AGUCAACCUAACUUAUGGAUGGGGAUAACCUCGGGAAACUGAGAAUAAUACCCGAUAGGUCAUGAUGCCUGGAAUGGUUUAUGACUCAAAUAAUUUAUUGCCAUAGGAUGGGACUGCGAGCUAUCAGCUUGUUGGUGAGGUAAUGGCCCACCAAGGCUAUUACAGCUACGGGCUCUGAGAGGAGUAGCCCGGAGAUGGGUACUGAGACAAGGACCCAGGCCCUAUGGGGCGCAGCAGGCGAGAAAACUUUGCAAUGCGCGAAAGCUCGACAAGGUUAAUCUGAGUGGUUCCUGCUAAAGGAACCUUUUGUUAGUCGUAGAACCACUGAUGAAUAAGGGGUGGGCAAGUUCUGGUGUCAGCCGCCGCGGUAAAACCAGCACCUCAAGUGGUCAGGAUGAUUAUUGGGCCUAAAGCAUCCGUAGCCUGUUCUGUAAGUUUUCGGUUAAAUCUAUGCGCUCAACGUAUAGGCUGCCGAAAAUACUGCAGAACUAGGGAGUGGGAGAGGUAGACGGUACUCGGUAGGAAGGGGUAAAAUCCUUUGAUCUAUUGAUGACCACCUGUGGCGAAGGCGGUCUACCAGAACACGUUCGACGGUGAGGGAUGAAAGCUGGGGGAGCAAACCGGAUUAGAUACCCGGGUAGUCCCAGCUGUAAACGAUGCAAACUCGAUGAUGCGUUGGCUUGUUGCUAGCGCAGUGUCGCAGGGAAGCCGUUAAGUUUGCCGCCUGGGAAGUACGUACGCAAGUAUGAAACUUA